AGGUGGCACAGGAGAGACCCACUACACACAGUGCUUGAGUAGCACGGCGCAGCCAUUUGUAGCUCCUGCAGUGGUGGACAGUGCAGAAUGCCCAGUGCAAGACAGAGGGCACCUAACGAAGGUGUCACAUGAAAUCAUUCCAUGAGACAUAAAUGUGCUCAGCUGGAGCUGUUCCCACAACGGAGACACUCAGCUAAAGGCCCUCGGCUGGAGCUCUGUCCCCAGGGGCUACGUCUUUGAGGAGAGCAGGCACGGCUGCACUGCAGGAAGGUGGACAGCUUUCUCGCCCAACUGCUGCGUUCACCCCAAAUGCCAGCAAGGGACGGUCGCCAGGCAAACACUGUGAUCCAGACAGCUUGAAUGGACUCAUCUUGGGUGCCACAGGAAGCACCUCUUAGUCUUCCGGCCUCCACAUGAAGGCAGCGACACAUGACCAACAAGGAGCACACCUUCAAGGCAUUGAUGACUGUCUCAAUGUGAGUCUUGACGGCCUCGUGAGAGAACUCAGAGCUGGCCAGUGUGCACAUGCUCUCCAGAGCCAGGAAAGUGAGUUGGACAGCAGCCAUGCAGGAAACUGGACCAGGCUAAGGCAGACAUCCAUUUUUAACCCUGCUCCAAUUUGGCAGACUGCUUUUGUCACAGCAACAUUUAUCUAACAGCUGGUUCCAAACAGGCUCGAGUUCUGUCUGCUACAGCCUCUGGCACAGACCCAGAGAGCAGUGCCACGGGCAUACAUAAGGGCACACAACCAGGACUGAGCAUAAAAGAGCAGAAGCAAGAUGCCUGCACUGUGUAUGACAACCACUGCCUGUGACCCAACCAUGACCCUGUACAGAAGCUGGGAGUCAUCACUACCAUUGCCCCAGGAGACCCCAGAAUACUGGAGUGCUGUCUCUCUGAGCAGCAAAAGUCACAUGGGUGUCCCUUCCUUUCAAAGAAGCUUCUUGUAAUACUCAGAAGCAAAAAAGUAGCUCUAGGGAAGAUUCCACAGCUAUAAAAGUAUCUAGUGGCAAUGUCCUGGGGCCAGAGAGCUCACAUGAGCUCAAGAAUUGAGAGGAGCACAGACCAAGGCUAGAAUAGAGACACCUGUCAACAUCUGCACAGACAGACGCCAACUGCCAGCCUCCACCUGCAGACUCUCAGAGGGAUGUGCUGCUAACAGGGCUCACCUGUCAUGGUGGAUGAUCAGGCUGAUGGCCUCAAACAGCACAGCGUUCUUGGCAUUUGAGUGCUGGACCUUCUUGGACUUGGGUGGCUCCUGGGCCUUGUUCAGGAUGGUCUCCAAGCACUCAGUCAGGCGGCCACGCACCGCAGGGUCUUCUGGGCAAGACACAACUGUCGGCUGGGCUCCCAGGCACUCAUCCCACCAGCCCAACCCCACACCCAGCCAAGAGGGUCCCGAGGCACUGCCUGUCCUAUGGGUGCCUUUGACAAUUAUUCCCAGCUGCGGAUAAGACGGGGAGCAUUUGUAAAUUGUCAUGGGACAGCUCCCUGCUCCAGUGUCAUAAACACGAGGUAGGGAUGGAGCAGCUGUGGUAAAUACACCUGCUUCUAAUUCAGAUGGCACUUAGACAGAAUGUGUUAGUCAUAAAAUCCAAGAAUUAUGGGCAAAACCUCUAAGGAGCUUCAGAGACAAGGAGGCAUUGUUCUCGGUUAUCAACCCCAGAAACAGAGAAAAAAUAUAAAGCAACAUAAAGAGAAAGAAAAUUUCUAAUUUGGUUCAAAGCAGAAGGAAAAGACAAUGAGCAAAAAAAUUGAAGCCAGCCAUGUGGUACACACCUGUAUGAGAAAGCACUUAAGAGGGCAGAGGCAGGAGGAUUAGGAGUUCAAAGAGAGUAAGUUCAAGGUCAGACUGAGUUACAUAAGACCCUGUCUCAUUAAAAACAUAAGGGCCAGUGAGACCACUCAGUGGAUAAAGGCAUUUGUCAUCAAGCAUAAUGACCUGAGCUCAAUCCUCAUAAACUACACGUGGAAGAAAAGGACCAACUCCCACAGGUUGCCCUCGGACCUCCACAUGCAUGCUGUAGCACCGCACCACAAGGCACACGCACGCGUGUGUGCACACACACACACACACACACACACACACACAGAGAGAGUAAAGGUAAAAGCUAUUAAAACAAAAACCAGUUACAGUGGUAGGAGCCUGUUAUCCCAGCACUUAGGAGGUUGAGGCAGGAUUAUAGGGAAUCCCAGGACAGUCUAGGCUACAAUAAGAAACUAUUGUAAAAAAGAAACUAUUGUAAUUAAUUUAAAAAUUUUAAAAGAGGAGGAGGAAGAGGACAGAACAGAGCCAAGGCUCCCAGUGAACUUUGUGUAUGAUGCUCAAGUAGCUUGCGUGUGGAUGUAUGUGCAUGUGUGAGGGGACAAAGGUCAGUCUCAUUCCUCAGGAGCCACCCACAUUUUUGAGAUAGCAUCUCUGACUGGGACAUGAGACUCGUAGUAGCUUACAUUAGCUCCUCCAUGUCUGCCCCUCUGUGCUGGAGGAUGCACCACUAUGCAUGCUGGUGUUUUAGACUGAACUCAGGUACUUGAGUCUGCCAUGCCAACAUUUCACUAACUUGACCCCUCUCUGAAACACCUCCUAAUAAACAAAGAUUUUAUCCAAC
ensembl:antisense